rnacentral:tRNA from 3 species
GCGGUCGUGGCCGAGUGGUCAGGCCCCAGGUCGCCAUCCUGGUGAACGCGGGUUCGAAUCCCGCCGACCGCU